CAGGGUGACAGGUGGUGCAUGGUUGUCGUCAGCUCGUGUCGUGAGAUGUUGGGUUAAGUCCCGCAACGAGCGCAACCCUCGACCUUAGUUGCCAGCAUUCAGUUGGGCACUCUAAGGUGACUGCCGGCUAAAAGUCGGAGGAAGGUGGGGAUGACGUCAAAUCAUCAUGCCCCUUAUGACCUGGGCUACACACGUGCUACAAUGGGCGGUACAAAGGGUCGCGAACCCGCGAGGGGGAGCCAAUCCCAAAAAGCCGCUCUCAGUUCGGAUUGCAGCUGCAACUCGCCUGCAUGAAGCCGGAAUCGCUAGUAAUCGCGGAUCAGCAUGCCGCGGUGAAUACGUUCCCGGGCCUU
rnacentral:rRNA from 1 species